rnacentral:tRNA from 1 species
GCUGAUUAAGUGUUCAUUCGCACAUUGACUUUUCACGUCAAAAGAACAUUCUACAUGUACUUAGCU